AUGCCGGCUGCUUCCAGCGCCUCCGGCGCAGCGCGGCACGCCCCAAGCUUCCCACGGUCCGCGCCUCCCUCCCCUCCAUCCAGACUCUCUGCUCCCGGCCUCUACAGCCCGCUCGCAACCACACACCCAUGGCUAGGGUUUCGGGCAUGGCUUCGCCGGCGCGUCUCCGGUGGUCCCAGGUUCGUCCUUCCUUCCUUCUUGGCCGAGAUUCGCUGCCCCUACACCUCACCUUCUCUUCAUAUCCUCUGCUGGAGAUGCAGUUGGGCACGCCAUGGGAGUUCCCCAUCCACCACGGUCGCCGCCGUCAAGGACGCAAUGGACAUGCAGCUCCUCAAGGUUUUAUCCCUCCUUUCCUCCAAUAUCAAGUUCUAA
rnacentral:rRNA from 1 species